rnacentral:sRNA from 1 species
AGUCAGAGGGAGGUUGUCGAUUGCCGCUAGUCACCGACCAUGUCGAUGUAGAGACAGGAUAUUCAUGGACGAGCGGAUAAGAUAAAUUUCCAAUAAUACUGAUAUUGAGUGUAAGGGCGUGUCUGAGCGAACGCAUUACCAGUGUUUGUCUCGAAUGAUCGUUGUUUGAUUUUUGAGUUGCUUGAUAGCCAACGUCGAGCACCGUUUCAAAAACAAGCUUCUGUAGAAUUCGCCUAAAUAUUGUACUGCACAAUACACCUCAUCGCAGCCGUUCUGAUGGUUUAAGUUUUGUCUGCGAGUCGGCUUAGUUACUGGGA